GUCUAUGGCCACGCCACCCUGAACGAGCCUGAUCCUGUCUGAUCUCGGAAGCUAAGCAGGAUUGGGCCUGGUUAGUUCUUGGGUGGGAGGUCACCUAGGAAGACCAGGUGCUGCAGGCA
rnacentral:rRNA from 1 species